rnacentral:lncRNA from 1 species
CCAAAUAUUCGUAUAAAAAACAAAAAAGAACCAAAUAUUUAACUAAAAGAUUACAUCGAAAAGUUGCCCGAAAGAAAAUGAAUAAAGGAAUUCUCACAGAUUGACCCUCUUUGCAAACCAAAACUCCUAACGGUCCCUUUUUUCCUUGGAAGAAGGCAUCUAAAACUUGAUUUUUGAUAAACUAGACAAAAUAAUCUCUAGAUCCAAUGAACUAACUCUAAUAAUUUUAUUAUCUACAAUUAUACUACUUCUUCCUCUUUUUUUUGGCCUAUAACAUAACUCAUCCAAAUAUUCACCAUCCUUAUCUCAUUAUAAUAGUUGUAGAC